UACGGGGGGGAGCAAGCGUUGUUCGGAUUUACUGGGCGUAAAGAGCUCGUAGGUGGUUUGUCGCGUUGUUCGUGAAAACCGGGGGCUUAACCCUCGGCGUGCGGGCGAUACGGGCAGACUUGAGUACUGCAGGGGAGACUGGAAUUCCUGGUGUAGCGGUGGAAUGCGCAGAUAUCAGGAGGAACACCGGUGGCGAAGGCGGGUCUCUGGGCAGUAACUGACGCUGAGGAGCGAAAGCGUGGGGAGCGAACAGG
rnacentral:rRNA from 1 species